rnacentral:lncRNA from 1 species
AGUUUUCGAGCCUCCUCCUGUCCCAAUCUACAAGCCAAAACCACCAGUCUUUAAGCCUCCUCCUGUUCCCAUCUACAAGCCAAAGCCACCAAUCUUCAAGCCUCCUCCUGUUCCUAUCUACAAGCCGAAGCCACCAAUCUUUAAGCAUCCUCCUAUUCCCAUCUACAAGCCAAAACCAAAGCCUCCUCCAGUUCCAAUCUACAAGCCCAAACCACCAGUUUACAAGCCUCCUCCAGUGCCAGUCUACAAGCCUGAACCAAAGCCACCAGUAUACAAGCCUCCUCCAGUGCCAGUCUACAAGCCUGAACCAAAGCCACCAGUAUACGAGCCUCCUCCAGUGCCAGUGUACAAGCCUGAACCAAAGCCACCAAUAUAUAACCCUCCUCCAGUUCCAAUCUACAAGCCAACACCACCAAUAUUUUAUAAGCCACUCCCUCCUAUCCCGAAGAUCCCUCCAUUUUACAAGAAGCCAUGUCCUCCUCUUCCUAAGCUUCCUCCUUUCCCAAAGAUUCCUCCGAAGCCUUUCCACCAC